GCGGAUGUGGCUUGUUUCUCUUCUCCAUCAACAUCUCCAUUUUAAGAGACAGCUGCUCACAGCUGCUUGUCCUUCUAGUUACCAAGGCAGCCAUGGGAAGAAUAGAUAGCAAAGCAACGACAAACAUGGUUCCAGGCUCUUCAGUGACACCUCCAGGGACUAGCAAGAUACUUGGAACAAGCAAUCAGAAAUUCAUGGACAUAACUCCAAUUUUUGUUAUAGAUAUCCUGGAGGCCCCAAGACAAUAAAGGCUAUCACCGUUACUCUUGAAUUCUCACCAGAAUUUCAUGGUGCUACCAUACUUUCAAGAGCAUGACUCAUCUUCUGAGUUUCCUAGCUUCUGGAAUCAUCACUGUCUUCAGAACAGCAGCCUCCCAUGCUAUCGUGCCUCCUGGGGAUCCCGGCUCUUGUUGGAUAUUGAUCACAUGAUUCUGUAUUUGCAAGUUAUGGAGCCCAGUUUCCAAGAAACCUUCACUCCUUGGAAAUAAAUCAAGACAUUUCUGAUUGCUUAUGCUUCUAGCUAUCCAUUCAAAACACCGGUCACUAUAUUAUCCUGAUAAGCUACUUCAUAGUUUCCAAUAUUUCUGUUGACCUAAAUAUAUAUUAAUGCAGAACACUG
rnacentral:lncRNA from 1 species